rnacentral:rRNA from 1 species
CCUACGGGUGGCUGCAGUGGGGAAUAUUGGACAAUGGGGGGAACCCUGAUCCAGCCAUGCCGCGUGUGUGAAGAAGGCCCUCGGGUUGUAAAGCACUUUCAGUGAGGAAGAACGCCUGGUGGUUAAUACCCAUCAGGAAAGACAUCACUCACAGAAGAAGCACCGGCUAACUCCGUGCCAGCAGCCGCGGUAAUACGGAGGGUGCGAGCGUUAAUCGGAAUUACUGGGCGUAAAGCGCGCGUAGGUGGCUUGAUAAGCCGGUUGUGAAAGCCCCGGGCUCAACCUGGGAACGGCAUCCGGAACUGUCAAGCUAGAGUGCAGGAGAGGAAGGUAGAAUUCCCGGUGUAGCAGUGAAAUGCGUAGAGAUCGGGAGGAAUACCAGUGGCGAAGGCGGCCUUCUGGACUGACACUGACACUGAGGUGCGAAAGCGUGGGUAGCAAACAGGAUUAGAUACCCCUGUAGUC